CAAUAGCGUAUAUUAAAGUUGUUGCAGUUAAAAAGCUCGUAGUUGGAUCUCAGGAGGACUUCAGUUGGUCGGCCUAACUGGUCAGAACCGUCUGUCUCUUCCUUGUUUCUGAAUCCCGCCCGGAGUUCAUUCUUCGGGUGUGGACUUCAGAUCGUUUACCUUGAAAAAUUAGAGUGUUUAAAGCAGGCAUUUGCUAUGAAUACAUUAGCAUGGAAUAAUAAUCUAGGACUUCGGUUCUAUUUUGUUGGUUUCUAGAUCUGAAGUAAUGAUUGAUAGGGAUAGUUGGGGGUGGCUAGUAUUAAGGGGCCAGAGGUGGAAAUUCUUGGAUUCUCUUAAGACUAACUUAUGCGAAAGCAUUCACCAAGGAUGUCUUCUUUAAUCAAGAACGAAAGUUGGGGGAGUCGAAGACGAUUAGAUACCGU
rnacentral:rRNA from 1 species